ensembl:lncRNA
ACAGACGGCCCCCAGCAGUCAUGCAGGGCAGGGGCAGUUCUUGGUUGGGGACACCAGCCAGAGAAUUUCAAUCUGUUUAGCAUCUCUGCCCUUUCCCCAAUAAGCGCUGAGAUCACCCCCAGCCCACUGCUAAGACAACCAGACACACCUGGGCAUUUCCAAAGCCCUCCUUCCAGCAGGUGUUUCCUGAACGAGACUCCCUUCUUCAGACCACGCAGAUGCACAGAGAGGCAAUGGCGAUGUCAAAGUGAAUAUGAAUAUGACUCAAGGCGUCACCUCCUCUUGCUGUUCUGUGACUGUCUGGACCUGGGAGGCUUGUGUUCAGCAAAGGCCUGAGCGGUGGUCCGAAAGGACUGUGAUGGGACCCUCAGUGAGUGCGCUGCUGGGAGAGGAGUGGGAGGUGGCCACCUUCUCUCUGUGCCUCUGGACUUCAUUUCUGUGUCGGUGAAAAAGAGGAAAGCUGUGGAGCUCAGAUGCCAAUGCCCUGGGGUGGGUCCCAGGAGGCGUCCACACCUUCUGUCAGCUGGGUACACAGUCUCCACCCUCCUCGCCUGGGGCAGCUGAAGGGGCUGAUACGACCUUUGUCCCUCCAAGAGGAAGAGCAGGCACCGGAGCACAAAGCUGCCCCUGCAUCCUUCUUCACCAGGAUGAGCUACCGCCCUCUCUGGGCUUCUGUCGAGUGCCCCCUUUCAUCAAAUGUUUGUCAUUAUUUGUGAGAUUGAUCGAUACUUUCAGUGUCAUUUCAAUUGAGUAUUUGGGCUGGGAAAGGAAACACAUUAAAAACAGACAAAUGAUUUGUUCUAUGCUGUGAGCCUCUGGUUGAAUGAGUUUGGGGCUUUUCAUUCAAUGCCAGAGGCUGGUGGUCAAGUUAAAAAC